UCCAGUGUGGUACAGAGGUUUGUGUGUUGGACUAUGACUCUGGAAAUCAGGAUUCGAUUCCCUGCUCAGCCA